rnacentral:rRNA from 1 species
AGAGUUUGAUCCUGGCUCAGAACGAACGUUGGCGGCAGGCUUAACACAUGCAAGUCGAACGUGAAGCCACCUUCGGGUGGUGGACAGUGGCGCACGGGUGAGUAACGCGUGGGAACCUACCUUUUGGCACGGAACAACCAAUGGAAACGUUGGCCAAGACCGUAUACGUCCCUUAGAGCGGGAGCUUUUUGGGAGAAAGAUUUAUCGCCGAGAGAUGGGCCCGCGUCCGAUUAGUUAGUUGGUGAGGUAAUGGCUCACCAAGACGUCGAUCGGUAGCUGGUCUGAGAGGAUGAUCAGCCACACUGGGACUGAGACACGGCCCAGACUCCUACGGGAGGCAGCAGUGGGGAAUAUUGGACAAUGGGCGCAAGCCUGAUCCAGCCAUGCCGCGUGAGUGAAGAAGGCCUUAGGGUUGUAAAGCUCUUUCACCCGCGAAGAUAAUGACGGUAGCGGGAGAAGAAGCCCCGGCUAACUCCGUGCCAGCAGCCGCGGUAAUAAGGGCGA